rnacentral:lncRNA from 1 species
GUCAGUCCUCAUCUGCAGUGAUGACAGUAGUAGGUGGAACAUGCCUGUCCUUGGGCAACAGGGCAGUGCACGUGCCAGCACCAAGUGGUUCCAGAAGUUUACGAAGACAAAAGAGGAAUGACGACUCAGCAUAUUGGAGCGUUCCACUUGGCUGGGAGCAGAUAAUGUGUGCAUCCCGAGAGCAGACAGAACCAAGAGCAGGCAAACUUAGAAGACACUCAGCUAAGCACUUGCUGACUUCUUACAGGUUCACCGAUCAGGUAUCACAACAACAUUUCCGAACGGCACAUGAAGAAGGAGCAAAUGUUCAGUCAUGACUGGAACAGGAUUGUGCAAGCCAUGGAUGCCUUUGAAAAUAAAACUGACAGACAAUCCCAAGCAACGGCAACAUGGGACUGAGACACAUGUUAAUGC